GAAAAUUCUACUUCACUGAAAAGCUUUGGACUGGUGCAUGAAGACUGUGUAACAAAAAUGAGAUUGAUGUCCCUGGUAGAUCUAAGUGGGAGUGGUUCUGGUGAGAUUCCAUAUUCUUUGAUCAAAGACACACUUCAGAUUGAAGACGAGGAGGUAGAGUGUUGGGUUGUGAAAGCAAUCACUUCUAAACUUCUGGACUGUAAGAUGGAUCAGAUGAACCAGAUUGUAAUUGUGAGCCGACACAUGGAGCGCGUGUUUGGGAUGUCUCAAUGGCAAGGUCUCCGUACAAAGCUGGCGGUUUGGAGGGGUAACAUUGGAAGUGCGAUUACCACUAUUAAAGCGAACAAAGUAUCCGAUGAAGGCUUACCUGCAAUGCAAGGUUUGGCGAUCCGGUGAUUCUGACUUAU
rnacentral:misc_RNA from 1 species